rnacentral:misc_RNA from 1 species
GAUAUCUAAAAACCAAAUAGAAGAGUUCAUAACAAGGAUGAUCUAAUUAUUAUCCUGAUGUCGUAUUUAUCAUUAAAUGCCUAUGUGCACCUAUAGUAGGAUAAAUUCAUAUUUAUACAACGUAGCACUUACAACAACCAAAACACUUAUGAGAAGAAUGGAGAUUACAAAAUGCCUUAUUCAAAAUAAUAUACUGAUGUGAUAUGUCGAUUAAAUUGAUUUACUCAUAGUGCAAAAUAAAAGCAGUUUGAUAUAAGAAUUUGCGUACACACGGCAACAGUGGCUCCUAUGAGAUUUUGGGGUAGAUUGGCAGAUUGUGGUAAUGUGGUAAUUUGUUUCUCCAUUGCAGUUAAAGAGUGAUUACGUUUAGGUGAACGUAUUUUGUGACAUUAGUAAAACUGAAUGUUAAUUUCUUUAGUUGAAUUGUUCAGGAUGUCAUCCCCUAGUGCUGGAAAACGUCGGAUGGACACAGAUGUUAUAAAACUUAUUGAAAGUAAACAUGAAGUCACUAUUCUAGGUGGAUUAAAUGAAUUUUGUGUGAAGUUUUAUGGGCCACGAGGGACUCCUUAUGAAGGAGGAGUAUGGAAAGUUCGAGUCCAUUUACCAGAACAUUAUCCCUUCAAAUCGCCCAGUAUAGGUUUUAUGAAUCGUGUUUAUCACCCAAACAUAGAUGAAGUAUCAGGAACUGUAUGCCUUGAUGUUAUAAACCAAGCGUGGACAGCUCUCUAUGACUUAUCAAAUAUAUUUGAGUCAUUUUUACCUCAGCUUCUUACAUAUCCUAAUCCAAUUGAUCCCCUUAAUGGUGAUGCAGCUGCCAUGUAUCUUCACAAGCCAGAAGAAUAUAAGAAAAAAGUUUCAGGUACGGUAAUAAAGAAUGUCAUGUAAUAUUCACGUCCGCUAUUAAAUAGUUUUCCUUGAAACGAUAUUAGGAUUUGGAUGGGGGUCACAUUUAAUUCAGUAGCGGUCAAAAUUGGUGCAUUUUUCGUGGAAUAGGGAAGUUUUCGUGGGAAUUUCAAGAUACUGAAAGGUAGCAUGUGAAAAUUAAGAAAAUACGUGAAAAAAUACGCAACGGAAGAAGCAUUGCGGGGCCAAGAAAAUAAUGUAAGUUCAGAAAGUGAGUCGAGUAUGUCAGAUUUUU